rnacentral:rRNA from 1 species
GCGUUGUCCGGAAUCAUUGGGCGUAAAGCGCGUGUAGGCGGCCAGAAAAGUCCGCUGUGAAAACUCGAGGCUCAACUUCGAGCUGUCGGUGGAAACUUUCUGGCUAGAGUCCGGAAGAGGAGAAUGGAAUUCCUGGUGUAGCGGUGAAAUGCGCAGAUAUCAGGAAGAACACCCGUGGCGAAGGCGGUUCUCUGGGACGGUACUGACGCUGAGACGCGAAAGCGUGGGGAGCGAACAGG